UGAGUGAAUUUAAUUCAGAUGACCGUUGUAUCUACUACAGUGGGCAAGAAUCCCUUAGAAGACAUGGAGUAGCCCUCAUAGUCAACAUCUGUAUCAAGCUAUCUGUGAAUCGUGGCUUUCAAUGAUUCUCUCAAAUAUUGCCAUGCUUCGUGGUGGAGGAGCACAAAAAUCUUACCCAGAGCAUAUAGGAAAACGACAGCGAUACCUUUCUGAUCUUAUUGCCUUUACCAUUUGGAAUUUUUUUAACCUAAAGGUAGACCACAUCUUCUCUUGAAAUUUUUAAGCUUGGAUCACUUCCUUCCUAGGAUGUGAUCUCUUUCAAUGUUGAUAGACAAUGUUGUCUGCAGGGAGGAUGGGUGAGGGUCCUGAGGGGCGAGAGAGAAGUGAAAGGUAUGAGCAUUGUGAGAGGCAUGUCCAUCUGUCUUCUACAGCUGAAGACUGAGCAAGAGACGUCAAUUAAAGCACCUGCUGAUGUUGCAGAGUGGUGAUCUGAAGACGUUUUAGAGGCUGUGGGUGAGACCACCCCCAGAGGACCACUGGAUGCGUGGCAUAGAGCCUGUGAGGGCUUGGGAGACCUCCCUGGGCUCCAGCGGUGGGUACACACAGGGUUAGUCAGACCUGCUGCUGCCUGAUGUUGUAGAUCUGAGGUGGAACUGGGCAGAGAACAUGGGGGAGUGGAAAGGGGUGGCCCUGAGCUUGUUGUGUGGAAAAUGUGUCACCCCCAGAUCAGUAUGUUAGCACCAUUUUAAGGGCCCGAUCUUGCAUGUCAUCACAGAGAAAUACUGUACUAAGUAGGAAGGGUGAGCUGCUGGCCCAACUCCUGGCCUGGGGACGUGUAGACACACACAGAGCCCUCAGGGGCAUCCUCACAUCAGGGUAGGGAGUCAGCACUGAGAAGGGGAGAGAUGGUGGAGUUCUCUGAGUCCUGGGCCUGGGCCUGGGUCUGAGGCCCCUGGUCAGAUGGCACUGCUGGCCCCAGCAGAUUCCAGGUCCUGAGGGGGGCUUAGAAACUGUCCACGAAGGCACCUGAAGACACAGGGCCCCUUGCCUGCCCAGGGCUAAGCCAUGUCCUUCUCCUGCUGGUCUCCUCAUGACAGUGACCACCUCCACACUUGUGAUUGCAGAGUCAGCCCCUGGCCUCUGCAUACUGGCACAGGAAGGAAGUCAGGCUGAGUUCCAGUUUGGUGGGUGAGGAUGGACCCAGAUCCUCUAAGUCUUCUCUUUGGAAGCAUCACUUCUUUUAUUAUUUGAUCUAUUAGAGUGAAUACUAUUAUGAAAAGAAGCAUUUAUUUUGUUCUUGAUGUAUAGGCUGAACCUGCAAUGAGGAAAGGACAGUCCUUUUAGCUGCAGAAGUCAGCCGUAAACUUGGCCUCACAGGGCUCCAUUCCUGGAUGGAGGAAAUUUUCUUUCUUGCUUCACCUGGAAUUCUGCAGUUUCUGAAUGUCACCUGUUUUUUAUUAUGCUCUUAUUACAAUACAAUUAACCUUACAGGUAAGAAGUACCCAUCAUGCACCGAUGCCAUGACACUUCUGAUGUAAGCUAAAUAAGGACAGAAAUCCCUCCUCCCCUUUGAAGAAUGGAGCUGGGAUGAAAAUCAGGGAAUAAGACCUCCAAACUCCUCCUUCCCCAGUGAAGAUUCCACCCCUUCAUUUGCAUGUCCCUCAUGAUCAGCUUGCCAAAGAAACCCAGGAGGGCAGCUCCUCACCUAUCUGCCUGCUCUCCCUCUGAGAGUGUAUCCUUGCUUUAAUAAACUCUCACUUUACUUUCUUAACCUCUCUGCUUUGUCUCUGAAUCCUUUUGCAACAGAGAAAGAAACCUUGCAUUCACUGGGAACAGAAUCAGAUAUUAGGACUGUCAACCAAAAAAAUGCAAACCUAAAAGUUGCAGGUUAUGUUUUAUUCAGGGACCUUACUGAGGACUAAAGCCUGGGAAGGCAGCCUGUCAGCUCUGACGAACUGUUUUAAAGAUAUAAGAGAGGAGCCUGGAUAUAUAGAAUUUUUUGCUAAAAAAAAAAUCAAAUGUAGUUGAAUAUUGAAAGAUUACUGCUAACCACAAAAGACAGACAUCUCAAGUUAAUAAUAGUGCUUUUCUGUAUAUGUGAAAAGGCAAGAAUUUGGACUCAUCGAAAUUAUUCCUUAGAUUUGCAUCCUAACUAUCUAGGACCAGGAUCCCUUUUUUUCAUCCAGAAUCCCUUUCAUAGAGCAUCACUGGAGGAGGCUACAAUGGCUGAUGGCUUGAUGAUGGACAGCAUUUGUUGUUUACUGGAACAUUAGACAACAUUUUUUGGUAAGCACUGGGAUAGCAUCCUGAGAUUCUGGGAUGCUAACACCUAGGAUCACAUCCUGGUAAGCCUGGCUGUCUUCUCAUGCUUCUUAAGGCCAUGGGCAAGUGGUUCUGCCACAAGGUUCUCCAAAUAGCCAGGAAACCAAGGCACAUCUUCCUGGGCUAUCAAUUUUAUUCAAAUAUCUGAGGGGAUAAAGGUUGAACAUUUAAAUUAGCUUUAACCCUUAAAACAUUACAAGUAUAGAUACAUUGUGGAACAGAAUGCAAUGUGCAAUGAGUCCCUACCUAGAGCUGUAAUUGAGUCUGGGCUCUCCAGGCCUCCCAAGGACAAGUUUCCCAAUGCUGAGUUUCUCUAUUUUUAAAAACAUAUUUUAAAAAAUUGUUUUUUGAGAUAUAAUUGUUGAAAAAAAUUUGCACAACGUGAGUGUUGCAAGUUAAGCUUUAUUUGGGGGCAAAAUAAGGACUGCAGCCUGGGAGACAGUGUUUCAGAUAGCACUGAGAAACUGCUCUGAGGAGGUGAAGGGAGAAGCUAGGAUAUAUAGGAGUUUUUGCAAUAAAAGGCAGAUAGUUGGGAACAUCAGAAAAUUACUGUUAAUUAAAGAAAACCAGAUAUCCCAAGUUAAGGAAUUUAGCACUUUUCUAUGUAUGAGAACAUUCAAGAUUCUGGGCUCACUGAAAUUGCUCCUUUGAUCUGUACCUCAGCUAUCUGGGGCCAGUAUCCUGUACUGUCUCAUUCUGAGUUUCCUCAGGGCUCACCUUAGGGAGUGGCUGUAGUCUGAUGGCUGUUAGAUGGCAGAUAUUCUUUCUUUCCUGAGUUCCCUCAGGACUUACCAGCUCACCAUCUGUGGUGGCUGCGAUCUCUGAGGACUGUGCCAUUCUUGUUUACCGAUAUGGCAGGAAAUAUCCCACUUCUGAAAUUUGUAAAACAUAAUGGUCACCACUUUAAAGUCUGCAACUCAGUAGAUUUUAGUAUAUUCACGAUGUUGUGCAACCACCUCACUACUACUCUCUUUUUGAGGAAUUCUUUCAUGAAAAUGUUUGGGGUGCUGCCUGCCUGCCACUCUGCCUCCAGAGGAGAAUUCACAGUGUCAGCAAUAGGAGGUGGAGUGCUGUUGAUCUUCAAGAAAGAGCAAGUUGAGGAGUGUCAAGUCGAGGAUUGGCGAGGCACAGAACCAUAUGAAGACCAUGUGGCACGCAGACACAGAAGUUCCACAGAAGGCCAUGAGGAGGAGACAGGCAGGCUGGACCAGAGACCCUGACCUGGUUACUGAGAGGCCUAGCAUCUGCUCCUGACCCUGUCCCUAACAUGCUGCGUGCUGGGUGAUUGGGGCAAAUGGCUCCACUUAUGUGGGUCAUGGUGUUUUCAUCUGUAACAUGGACAGGGAAAUCCUGGUUUGAUCCCUGGGUCGGGAAGAUCACCUGGAGAAGUGAAU